rnacentral:tRNA from 1 species
GGCAAUGUAGUUCAGUGGCACAAUGUUUUGCCUACCAGCUGUGAGGUCCUGGGUUCAAUCCCUAGCACUGCCA